rnacentral:rRNA from 1 species
UACGGAGGGUGCGAGCGUUAAUCGGAAUUACUGGGCGUAAAGCGUGCGUAGGCGGCUUGUUAAGUCAGGUGUGAAAGCCCCGGGCUCAACCUGGGAACUGCAUUUGAAACUGGCAGGCUAGAGUUAGGUAGAGGGAAGUGGAAUUCCGGGUGUAGCGGUGAAAUGCGUAGAUAUCCGGAGGAACACCAGUGGCGAAGGCGGCUUCCUGGACCCAAACUGACGCUGAGGUACGAAAGCGUGGGUAGCAAACAGG